rnacentral:rRNA from 1 species
GACGAACGCUGGCGGCGUGCUUAACACAUGCAAGUCGAACGGCGAAGGGGAGCUUGCUCCCUGGAUCAGUGGCGAACGGGUGAGUAACACGUGGGCAACCUGCCCCUGACUUCGGGAUAACGCUUCGAAAGAGGUGCUAAUACCGGAUAUGAACCCUGAGGGCAUCCUCGGGGUUGGAAAGUUUUUCGGUCAGGGAUGGGCCCGCGGCCUAUCAGCUUGUUGGUGAGGUAGUGGCUCACCAAGGCGACGACGGGUAGCCGGCCUGAGAGGGCGACCGGCCACACUGGGACUGAGACACGGCCCAGACUCCUACGGGAGGCAGCAGUGGGGAAUAUUGCGCAAUGGGCGAAAGCCUGACGCAGCAACGCCGCGUGAGGGUUGAAGGCCUUCGGGUUGUAAACCUCUUUCAGCAGGGAAGAAGCGAAAGUGACGGUACCUGCAGAAGAAGCACCGGCUAACUACGUGCCAGCCGCCGCAGUAA